UACGUAGGGGGCAAGCGUUGUCCGGAUUUACUGGGCGUAAAGAGCGCGUAGGCGGAAGCUUAAGUGUGGCCUGAAAGCCCCCGGCUCAACCGGGGAGGGUGGCUGCAAACUGGGUUUCUUGAGGGCGGCAGAGGAGAGUGGAAUUCCUGGUGUAGCGGUGAAAUGCGUAGAGAUCAGGAGGAACACCGGUGGCGAAGGCGGGUCUCUGGGCCGAUACUGACGCUGAGGAGCGAAAGCGUGGGGAGCGAACAGG
rnacentral:rRNA from 1 species